rnacentral:rRNA from 1 species
UGUGAGGCAUGCUGGAGGUAUCAGAAGUGCGAAUGCUGACAUAAGUAACGAUAAAGCGGGUGAAAAGCCCGCUCGCCGGAAGACCAAGGGUUCCUGUCCAACGUUAAUCGGGGCAGGGUGAGUCGACCCCUAAGGCGAGGCCGAAAGGCGUAGUCGAUGGGAAACAGGUUAAUAUUCCUGUACUUGGUGUUACUGCGAAGGGGGGACGGAGAAGGCUAUGUUGGCCGGGCGACGGUUGUCCCGGUUUAAGCGUGUAGGCUGGUUUUCCAGGCAAAUCCGGAAAAUCAAGGCUGAGGCGUGAUGACGAGGCACUACGGUGCUGAAGCAACAAAUGCCCUGCUUCCAGGAAAAGCCUCUAAGCAUCAGGUAACAUCAAAUCGUACCCCAAACCGACACAGGUGGUCAGGUAGAGAAUACCAAGGCGCUUGAGAGAACUCGGGUGAAGGAACUAGGCAAAAUGGUGCCGUAACU